UAGGGAAUCUUCCGCAAUGGGCGAAAGCCUGACGGAGCAACGCCGCGUGAGUGAAGAAGGAUUUCGGUUCGUAAAGCUCUGUUGUUAGGGAAGAAUGAUUAUGUAGUAACUAUACAUAGUAGAGACGGUACCUAACCAGAAAGCCACGGCUAACUACGUGCCAGCAGCCGCGGUAAUACGUAGGUGGCAAGCGUUGUCCGGAAUUAUUGGGCGUAAAGCGCGCGCAGGUGGUUUAAUAAGUCUGAUGUGAAAGCCCACGGCUCAACCGUGGAGGGUCAUUGGAAACUGUUAAACUUGAGUGCAGGAGAGAAAAGUGGAAUUCCUAGUGUAGCGGUGAAAUGUGUAGAGAUUAGGAGGAACACCAGUGGCGAAGGCGGCUUUUUGGCCUGUAACUGACACUGAGGCGCGAAAGCGUGGGGAGCAAACAGGAUUAGAUACCCUGGUAGUCCACGCCGUAAACGAUGAGUGCUAAGUGUUGGUCUCAUAAGAGAUCAGUGCUGCAGCUAACGCAUUAAGCACUCCGCCUGGGGAGUACGACCGCAAGGUUG
rnacentral:rRNA from 1 species